AUUGAACGCUGGCGGCAUGCCUUACACAUGCAAGUCGAACGGUAACAGGUUAAGCUGACGAGUGGCGAACGGGUGAGUAAUAUAUCGGAACGUGCCCAGUCGUGGGGGGUAACGUAGCGAACGCUACGCUAAUACCGCAUACGAUCUACGGAUGAAAGCGGGGGAUCGCAAGACCUCGCCCGAUUGGAGCGGCCGAUAUCUGAUUAGGUUGUUGGGGAGGUAAAAGCUCACCAAGCCUGCGAUCUGUAGCUGGGCUGAGAGGACGACCAGCCACACUGGAACUGAGAGACGGUGCAGACUCCUACGGGAGGCAGCAGUGGGGAAUGUUGGACAAUGGACGCAAGGCUGAUCCAGCAAUGCCGCGUGCAGGAAGAAGGCCUUCGGGUUGUAAACUGCUUUUGUACGGAACGAAACGGUGAGCUCUAAUACAGUUUGCUAAUGACGGUACCGUAAGAAUAAGCACCGGCUAACUACGUGCCAGCCGCCGUAACAC
rnacentral:rRNA from 1 species